GAUGGUUAUAAGCAACUGUGUGGUUGCUGGGCAUUGAACUCGGAACCUCUGGAAGUGCUCUUAACUGCUGAGCC
rnacentral:miRNA from 1 species